rnacentral:rRNA from 1 species
AACGCGAAGAACCUUACCUGGACUUGACAUGCAGUUGACGACUACAGAGAUGUAGUUUUCUCGCAAGAGACAAUUGCACAGGUGCUGCAUGGCUGUCGUCAGCUCGUGCCGUGAGGUGUUGGGUUAAGUCCCGCAACGAGCGCAACCCUUGUCGUUAGUUGCCAACACGUAAUGGUGGGCACUCUAGCGAGACUGCCUAGGUUAACUAGGAGGAAGGUGAGGAUGACGUCAAGUCCGCAUGGCCUUUAUGUCCAGGGCUACACACGUGCUACAAUGGUCGGUACAGAAGGCAGCGAAACCGUGAGGUGGAGCAAAUCCUCAAAGCCGGCCCCAGUUCAGAUUGGAGUCUGCAACUCGACUCCAUGAAGAUGGAAUUGCUAGUAAUGGCGGGUCAGCAACACCGCCGUGAAUACGUUCCCGGGCCUUGUACACACCGUAGUAC